GUGACAGCAGAGAGCAAUCUGUAGGUUAGUUAUGAGUACAAGCCUGGGCAAAAUGAAUAGGGGAAGAAAUUCCACAUGGAGAUCAUUGAGAGAACAUUGUGAUUUGAAUGCAGAAAUAGGAUAAGGAAGACAUAAGAGAAAGGGGUGGGGAAAAGGAGAAAAAAAAUGGAUAAGGAAAAUGGAAAGGGCCAGGAAGGAGAGGAGAAUACAGACUAGAACAUUUGUUCUCUAAGAGAGAAGCGCUGCUGAUGCUGCAGGUGAGUGGGUAAGAGGAGGAGCAGAGAUGAUGUCCAGAACAUGAAGUAUAGUUUUUACAUAUUAUCCACAGCAAGUGUGUUUCUUGCAGGCAUAUGCUAAGGCAUACAUUUCAUACGUGAAUUAACUCCCCAGGCAAAGAAAGCUUUUGAAAUAUCAUAUUGUGAUUAUGGCAGUAAUGGUAUGUGGUUCUUUUUUUAUCCUACUGCAUAUGUUUAAUAUAAGCACUAAUAGUUUUAAUUUUAGUUUGUCUAUGGUCAAAGACCCUUUGAUGUCUCAUGUGAGACUAUUUUUAACUUCACUAAAGACGUGCAAUCACCUUUGAGUCCAUUCUGUUACGCUGGGUAAUUAAACACAAAUAUUUGAUGUUGGUUUUAUUUCAUUCUAAAUCACCUUACAUGUAUGAAUUAUCAAUGUCAAAAAGGGAAAAAUAUCCUCAAAUCAUCACUCCCCUUCUCUCUGACUUGAGUGCUGGUGGAUUUACUGAAAUCUGCUAUUAGUAAAUUCUUGGAUUAUAUACUUACGCCUCAGGUACUUCUAUCCAGUUUUCUACACCCCUAGGUGCUCUCUCAGAAAAAAAAAAUCCAAGUUCAAAGGUGUCUUAUAAUACCUUAGCUCAUCUUAGUUGCAUGAAACAGAUAAGUAAUUCAUAAAGAUCAAAUUAAAAAGUGACAUUUUCUAACUUCUUCAGUCUCUGUGCUACAGAUUGCUUGAGUGCAUCUUUGUCAAAGCAGGGAAUUUGGCUCACAGAUUUUAAAUUAUUUGAGCAUUUUGGUUCUGAAUAUUACUAUUGAUUUAAAUCAAAUUGCUUUGAAAAGUAAAGUUUCAAUGUAGGGUUUCUUAGGUGAACAUGAUAGUUGCCUCUGUGAAACUGCAAAGGGGUGUUUGGUUUUAUUUUACUUUAUCAGUAAGUAAGUAAGCUGUCUAGUAUUCUACAUUGAAACACAGAACCCUGAAUGAAACUUUGUGUAGAAAACAUCAGAAUUUAAGAUCACAUAAUGAACUGUACUGCUGGAAAUACUGUCUAUGAAUUGAUACAUCUCUUACCCUUCAGCUCCCCUCUCACAGCUACUAUUGUUAAUAUCUGGGAUCCUCUUCAGAAUAACUUAAGGUUUUUCAGUCAAAGGACACUCCUGUAUGGUUAUUUCACCCUAACCCUAGCAAACUGUUUCUCAAACUUGGUAUGGUGUUUCACCUUUGAAAUAACACAUGCUGCAAAGAAUUGAAAAGAACAGGUUUAUGUGUUUAAGCUGCUGCCCACCAACCAAUUUUUGAUUCUGUGGAGUGUGGCAGAUAAAUAGAUUAUAUACCACAUUUUAAUUUCUUCCCAUUGGAGUAACCACCAUUUGGUAAAAAAUUAUAGAAACCCUUCUGUUUUAAGAACAGAAGAAUACUAGUUUUACUUGAGCUUGUUUGAAGAUCCAGUGCCUGGAUAGGGCUGAUAGGGCUGUAGCAAGUCAUCAAAGGUUUAGAGAGAAAUUAUUAACUCCUCAGCUUACCAUAUCUAGUAGAAAACAUUGUUAAAUGAAUGAACUUCUAUGGCUUGUGUUCUUCUUGGGGCACACAUGGGUAUUUCCCUACUUUCCAAGUCUCCCUCAUUUCUGGAUGUCUAAGAAGUAAUUUGUAAUGUAUGUUACUAAUAAUACAGCCAGCAGAGUGGAUAAGGUGAAAAAAAAAGGUUCAGCUAUGUUUUUCAGUAUAGAAAUAUGGUAUAUGGUAGCAGUAUACAUUAAUCACAUAUUUUCUACGUAUAUGUAUAGAAAAAUAGACAGUGGAUAUCAGAUAUCACAUUUUUGUAAUGUAAAUAUAGAAAUCAGUGAAGUUUAUGCAUUUUCAGCUUUUCACAUUCACAGGCAGCAUCAUUGCGCAUACACUGAGAGCUGAACAAAACUAUUCAUUUUGUCUGAAGGAUAAAAUACCCUAUUCCUCUACAUAUACAUUUUUCCACAGAAAUAAUCCAUGGGACAAAAAAAUCAAAUAACUUUCUUCUAAACACUGCAGAGGAGAAAGUCUAUGAUAUCAGCUUUGUCAAGUGACAAUAAUUUAAAAUAUGUUCUUACUUUACUGAGGGAUAAUGUUAUCACUGCAGCGCUCUCAGUCAGAGUAAGGUGGUUCAUCCUGUGGAUCCUGGAGCAUUAAUAGUGAACAUCACACUAGCAAUUCUUCUUGCACUUGAACUUUUACAACUUAAGUUCAAAACUGAUUCAAAUUUAGCAAAAAAAUACCAACAAUUUCUCUUGGACAUCCUUCUAUUCUGGGCAGUUAUACAGUGACUGAUUCUGAGAAAUAUAUAUUUGCAUUAGAUACAGAUAGAAAUGAAGAGGUUAAAGAAAGCAUAGUUGAAAAGACUCAUGCACAUUGUGUUUUACCAUCACAGACCUUAUAAAAUGUCACAAAGACUUACCUUUGUCAUUCUGGUGCUACUUGGUCUUACAGACAUUUAUCUGAAAAAAACCCAAACCCUGCUGAAGUAAUUAAAUUUGCCUGAGAUGUCACCCCCAGAAAUAAGGGCUAAUAUGUCUACCUUUCAUUGGUAGCGAACAUGCAUUUAUAACUCCUACAUGCCAAUAUUAACACAGACACUGCACUGUAUUUCUUCUCAAAUAAAUUUCCUCCAAAACUCCAAAAUUUCCUCUUUCCUUUUUUGAGGCACUGAUAGAUACACAUGGAGGUCAUGUUAAAGGAAGAGUAUACAGUAAAAUCUCUUCUCCAAGCCAGAAACAAAGGUAAUUGAGCAAAGGCGCAUUUAUAGAAGACUGACAGGAGAGACUGCAAUGUGAGACAGACCCAUUUUUUGCUAAAUCCUUUUUUCCCUGUGAUAUCUUGCUCUCUCUCGCUCAAAAAUGUUUUGAUUUGACUAAGUUUUCUAAGUUACUGUAAUUUGCUGUCUUUAAAGGAGUUUGGAAAAUACAGGGUUUCUAUCACGUCCAUCAUAGCUAAAGAAAUAAAAUGUCAGAGGACAAAGAGUAGUAUCUCUUGCCCCCGUGAUUGUGUUCAGUGCAGUGCAGAGUGACAGCAAAAGCUGUCACUGUGGGGCCAAGGCAUAGAUUUCCAAAUUACUCCUUCUCCAUUAAAACAAACAAACAAACAAUAAACCAAAAAAUUCCCAAGCCCAACCACAAAACCUCAAGGAGACUCACAGAGAGCAAGGGGACAGAAUGGACAAAUGACUUCCUAUCAGUCACAGUAGGGCAGGUAAAACAGGUGUGUGAAUGCAGGUUUGCCAGGCCCUGGAGUUAGCAAUCCCACUGUAGGAGAAGCCAUCCUCUCUGCAAGAGACUUCAUGUAAUGUUGAUUGAACAUCCACACUGUAGAACACCUGCAUUUUAUAGUGUGCCAUGAGAGAAUUUUUUCACCUGGCUUUUACCACAAAAGCUUGAUUUUGAAGCCUUUGUUCCCUUUAUUAUUUGCUUUUUGAUUAAACAUCACCCAUUGUUAUAUAUUCUGAGAAAUGCUGGCCCUGCAGCGAUUGUAAAUCGAUAGCUAGAUGUGGAGGAAUAGGAAGGGAAAGGGGAAAAAAAGGAAACGAGAAAAGUUUCUUACUGCUAAGUGAGAAAGAAAGUUAAUAAAAAUAGGUCAGGCAAUUUCAACCUUUUUUCAUAUGAAACAAAUGGUCUAAUCUUAAGUAGGAGUCACACAUCAGGAUCUUCAGUGUAUCUGGGGCUCAUCAGGAAGUGGCAUACAAGUAGUGAUAUAAAAAUCCUUUUUCACGGAUAUCAGGAAGUUUGCAGUAUAAAAGAUUAUCCUGCAAAGAAUUUGUAUUACAUCUAUCUUUUUACCUAGGAUUGAAUAAAUAUUGCAGAAAUUAAACUGAUAUGUUAUCCAGGUCAUGUAUUCAGCAAUGACUAAGCCGAAGAAGCAUAUAUGAAAAUAUCAAAAUUUUUUCUUAAAAAUCUGUAGAACAGUAGUCUAAAUGGAUGAAAAAGGAAAACAGAAGGUAAGGGGGUUUUUUUUCAUCUCAAAGGACAAUCAUUUUAAUUGUGUAGUUCCUGGAAAUAAAAAAAAAAAAAAAAAUCUUUCAUAAUGCAAUGAAAUGAUAUUUGAAGUAACUCACAUACAAAAUCUACAGACUGAAAUACUACUGAACUCCUAUUUAUCAGUCUGCUGUAAUUAAAUUCAUCAUGCAAUCUUGGAAAAAAAAAAAGAAUGUAUUUAAAAUACAGAAGGGGAAGAAACUUCCAUAUUCGGGCAUAAAAAUAGGAGACAUUCAAGUGGCAUGAAGUUACAAUUCAGGAAAGAUUUUGUUAGUUGUAUUUGGAGCGCAACUAUAGCAACUGUUAGCAUGUGUCACUGCCUCUAAUGGUAUAUGGGUUCAAUCAGAGCACACAGAAUACCAGAUGGGACUGAAGGAAGCUGUCAGCAGAAAGACACUAUGCUCUCUGAUUUUUGCAUUCCUGUGCAAAAAGCCACUAUUGUCAAUUGUUUUUAUCUGUAAAACCAGUGCUUUUGUUAUAAAUCUUGGCAUGGUCUGGGAUUACAAAGCCAGCAAGUACCAGAUGGCUGAAGAGACUCAGGCCAGGUCUAGGGCCUCCUGCCAGCCUUGUUUCUGCAAUCAGGAGUAUGCAGUAAUAUGAUCCACGUUCAACACGUCUGGGUGAACAGAUGCUCCUCACAUGUAGACACAGUAAGUACACUGGCAAAACUGUAGCAUGACUGGUAGACAGAUGCCUGAUGAAAGUAAGGAAGAAGAUUAUUUAGACGAGUGCAAAGCACAGCGUUGCUGGAAUACAGAAUAGUUGCAAUCUGCUGUGCUGGUUUUGACUGGGUUAGAGUUAGUAGCUGGUACGGGCCUGUGUUUUGGAUUUGUGACCUGGUAACACAGGAUAUUUUGAUUAUUUACACAGUGUCAAGGACCUUUCUGUUUCUCACCCCAUCACACCAGCAAAUAGGCUGGGGGUGCUCAAGGAAUUGUGAGGGGACACAGCUGGGACAGCUGACUCCAACUGAGCAGAGAGAUAUUCCAUACUGUAUGUCAUCAUAUUCAUCAUACAAAGCUGAAGAAAGAAGGAGGAAGGAGGGAACACGUUCAGAGUGAUGGUGUUCCCAGGUCACUGCUACAUGUCAUGGAGCCCUGCUUUCCUGGGGAUGGCUGAACACCUGCCUGCCCAUGGACCCCAAACCUGAAACCUGUACACAGUCGCCAAGGUGAGGCUGGACCUGUGCAGUGUACAGUGGGAUAAUCACCUCCCUCGACCAGCUACUGAUGCUGUACUUGAUGUGCCCAGGAUUUGGUUGGCCGUUCUGGCUACCAAGGCCCACUGUUGACUCAUAUUCAACUUGUCAUUGACGAGGACCUCCAGAUCUCUUUCUACAGGGCUGCUGUCUAGCUUCUUGUCCACCAACUUGUAUAUAUAACUGUGAUUUUUCUAUCCCAGGUGGAAAAAACAGAAUUUGCUCUUGUUGAAUUUCAUACAGUUUGUGAUUGUCCAACUCUACAGUCUAUGCAGAUCUCUCUGUAACAUCUCUCUGCCCUCAAUGGAGUCCACAGCUCCUAGUUUAAUAUCAUCAGCAAAUUUAAGCAGGUCCCAUUUUUUGAAGACUACCAGAAAGUAACAGAGAGGAAACAGAGCAUCAAAGCAUUUAUUGAAAACUCUGUAGUUUCCCUGGAACUCCCUAGGCUUUUCAACAAGGCAGUGACAUUUCAACAACAGCACAUUUCAGAGAAAGCAGGGACCCUUCUAUGACAUAUCACCAUUCCUAUGGGCCCUAUGCAUGUCAGAAAGCUACUUACAGAGAAGUAGCCAGUUAGAGAGUCCUGCCCAGCUGUCUCCACCAGUCAUCUUUACUGCUUCUCAAAGCUUCCCCAAGCCAGCCUCAAAUCUGACUUCCCCUCAUUUUACAUACAGGGUCAUUUAUUGAAAAGCCUGGACUAGGCUACAUGAUUGUAUAAAAUCAGUGCUGCCCAGAUGCCAUCCAUCCUGUUUCCUUCAGGAAAAAAAAUGUUCAAAAAAUAAAAGUCAUCAGCAUUGUGUAGCCUCAGGGAAAUAUCUCCUAUAGAUUCUCAUUGAAUUUGGUUUCUCUCUAGCUAUUACAAAGAAAAAUAAUUCUCUAAUAUAUUUUUGAACAAGAAAAAGUGACUUCAUAUUUCAAGAGGCGUACACAGCACCUGGUUAUGUUUCUAUUUAAUUAAGGUUAUUUUCCUAGAGAAAGGAUAAAGCAUAGAAUGUCACCAUAACUAAGAAAAUAAGUGCAUCAAACUCAUACAUAUUAGUCCCAAAGCAACAUUAAUGAAUCUUAACAAUUUUUUGAGAACCUUAGUGCUACUGGACUAAUAACACCUUAUUUAAUCUGUGCUUCUGGAAGUCAGUGGAGCAGUGGCAAAUUCUACGAGCUGGAAACAUGGUGCAGCAUGUUUCAAGUUACUGCUUUCUAUACCUUAACUGGUGCCAAAAUAUUUCUAUCAAGAGCUUCUGAUAAUUUUUCAGAUGAUUACUACCAUUCACAAAUGGUUUUAGGUAAAACUAAUGGAAAGGCAAUGUGACAACCAUUCCUUGCUCAUGUUAAAAGAGAAAAAAAACUUUUCCAUCGAGUCUGUCUUUUAGGAAAAUAUUCUUGGUUUCUAUAAAUUGCUUUCUAGAUGGAAUGCUGAUCAAGCUGUAUUAUUUAUUCUAUCUCAUUUUUGCUUGGGCAAUUUUGAGUUCAACUUUUCCUGAACACUCAUUUUAUUUUUUAAUUUUUUUUAAUGGUGACACACUUGUGUCAUGAUCAUCAUGUUGAAAAAAUGAGAAAAAAUGUGACACUUAUUGAGGACACAUUCCGUGUCCUGGCAAUCCCAGUGAAUGAAAAAAAAUCAGCUGAACUGAUGUUUGCUUGUAUAUAAGGAGAUAUUUCUAAGGCAGAACAUCAACAAAGUGAACUGGAGAAGAGGCUGACAAUCACAGAUUGUGCUAUACAAUUUCAUACAGAAGGCACCUCUGGCUCCAUCAUCAGCAAGUUGAUAAAAUUAAUGAAACAGAAGGGAGAGCUGUAGACAUAUGUGCAUCCUAAAAACUUCACAGUUGAGUAAGUUGCAUGACAUGGUAGUCAUAGUAAGUAAAACUUUUCAAAGAAAUUCUUAGACAUAAAAAAGUUUGGACGUGUGUAUCAAGUAAAUACUACCUAUACCUAUAUGAACAAAUUAAAUUCUGACAAGGCUAUUUCUACACACAGGAACCCAGCUGCUAAAAUGGUUCCUGACAUUGUUUUGGCCUAAACUUUCCCAAACAAUGCAUAAACUUGCUUAAAGAAUUAUCAAAUUGUAGACACUUUUUUGUGGCUAUUCCUUGCCUAUGAGUACCUCCUUUUGGAUAGUUUUUUGGGGUGAACAUGGGCCGUUUGUGUCAGUUCAUCUCAGGAAACGGCCACUGGCAUAUUUCAUUUACUAAUACAGUCACACACUCUAUAAUUCCUUUUUUUUUUUUUUUUCCUUCAUACUCAAUUCAUCCGGGAGCAAUCGAAUGAUCAGCCUGUGUGUCUGUCUGUCUGUUACAUCCUACAGAUUUCAGCCAAAUUAGGUAUCUGAGUGAAAAGUAAAUUCCUUCAAGUUUAAAGAAAACAGGCAAUCUUGUAGAGAAGUAAGACAUAGAAACGCCCCCUUUUAUGGAAAAUCACUACACAAGUUUACCCAUCACUGACAAUGGAGAAUGUGCAUAAUAGACCAACUUUGAGAAACACACUCAUGCAAAAUUUGGCUUCUUUUGCCUUUCUGCCUACUGAAAUAUUCAUUGGUUAUUUGUUCCAGUAUCCUUGAAAAAAGUAGAUUUAGACUCUCUAAUGUUUCAUUCCCCAUUUCAUUCUCUCUAUUUUUGCCACCUCCAGGCAUUUCUGUCUCUCAUGUUGUUUGGGAUUAUUUCCAAAUCAAGACAUUCUUUGAGAUUCUAAGGAAAUGGCAUUUUAGGGAGCUAUAGGCUAAUAACUAAGCUCUUGUGUAGACAGUCCUGUGGUAAUUUAAGGGAAACUGUGACAAUGAUUGACUUGUGAUUUGUCCUUAAGAUGAAUGGCACAGAUAGCGCCUGUGCUGUUCUAAACAAAUCUCACAGUCUGGGCCUCUGCUUGAGUUCACAAAUUAUUCUUUAUGGAUUUUCUCUCAUAGGAAAGAAUCAUAGAAAUUUUCGGAUUGGAAAGAACUUUAAAGUUCAUCUAGUUCCAACCACCCUGGGCAGUGUCACCUUCCACAAGACCAAGUUGCUCAAAGCCCCAUCCAUACUCAAGGUCUAUGACUGAUGUAAUGCUUAAUCACAUAAAGCAUGGAAAAAUAUUUUAAAAAGAUAGCAAGAGGGAAUCUACUUCAUUUUUCUGUCCUAACUUUACCUGUGUUGAUUAUCAGAGAAAUUUAAUUCAUCUAUUCUUAGAGACCUUCAACAGCAGAGUUGGUACAACCUGCUCUUCCCCUAUCAACUGUGCUUCUGAAGUGCUUUCUAAGGUGAACAUCCAUGUAGCACUGCAUAUGCUGGGGAGUCUUACUAUUUCUCUCCCUCAAUUAUUAGCUCAACAGAACAGUUACUGAUUUUACUGAAUAUAUUCUCUCUGUUGGGAAAAAAAAAUCCUUUAAAGUUAAUAAUGGGACAGCUAUUAUAUUGUUGUAAGUCCUGAGUAACUCCUGUAAGUUUGCAAUCAUAGAAUAAGAGAAUAUUUAAGGUUAGAAAAGAUCUUUAAGAUUAUCAAGUCCAACUGUCAACCUAGCACUACCACCAUGUUAAUCAUUAAAUCAUGUCCUCAAGUGCCAUAUCCCCAUAAUUUUUGAACACCUCCAGUAAUGAUGACUCCACCUCUUCCCUUCUCAGUCUGUUCCAAUGAUUUGCAACCCCUUCCAUGAAGACAUUUUCCCUAACAACCAAUCUAAACCUCCCCUGUUCCAUUUUGAGGCCAUUUUCUCUUUUCCUGCCACUUGUUACCUGAGAGCAGAAACUGACCCCCGCUGUGGAGAGGCAGUUGGGAAGCCAAGCGGAAAGUACUGCAGGUAUGGAUAUCUUGACCUUAGUGGGACAGAAGCCAUGGGAGUGGCAGACAUGUCUUUGAAGGACUGAGUAAAAGGAAUGUCAUAUAUUACAUUGUGUCUUGCUUUAGAGAAAUAAUGCAAGAUGAUAGUUAAUUAAUGUUGCUAGGAAACAUGAAUGUUGUGCUCUUUACUAAGGGAAUGGAAAGUUUUGUUUAAAGGCUAUAAAGGUAUAUAAGCCAUGCUGCAGAAACAAUAAAUUGGACUUUUGCUUGCACCGAGCUGCAUCCUGUCUCUCAACUGCCACACCCCCUCUCACCGCAAACUCCUUUCAGGUAUUUCCAGAAAAUUACCAGGUCUCCUUUGAGCUCCUUUUCUCCAAGCUGAACAACCCCAGCUCCCUCAGCCACUUUUUAUUAGACUUGUUCUCCAGACUCUUUACCAGCUUCGCCGCCCUUCUCUGGACUUGCUCCACCACCUCAUUGUCUUUCUUGUUGUGAGGUGGUGGAACUGAUACAAUGACUUGCAGAAGUACAAAUGAGAAAAUACUGUGGCCUGAAGCUCUAGAAUGUCAAAUUUCUUUGUAUGCAACUAUUGAAUGCAUGUUAAAAGAGCGUGUCAAGAAGUUAUAAUUGAUAUCAAAGUGCUGUUUUUCACCUAAUUUGUCUCACUUUAGGUACUUACUAUGAAUGUCUUAUCUAUGGGUGCUUAUAUUUAGAAAAAAGAAUUAGAAAUGUAGAUAAAAAGCUGCACAGCACUCACAUUUUGGGGAAAAAAUACAUUCCAGCUGCAUUUGCUUUAGCCUCAGUGGGACACUGAGACACUUGUCAAAACCCAACAGGCAUACUGAGCUUCAAUGAUUCAUAGGAUUUAAAUUACUUGCUCUGGGGGAAAUCAAAUGUGCAGGAGACCCCACAGGGUCCCACCAUCUAAUUAAAGGGAGCUUUCUUCUUGAUCAUCCUCAUGUAAAUAUGUAAUAAGCCAUCAGACUAGAAUCAUUCUGUUUACACAUGAUCUGCCAGUCAGGAAGAUCAAUGAUGAGAGCAAGCGCUUUAUAUUUAUCUGCUGAAUAUGUUGCAGAUCAUCUAACAGAUUUCUUUAUGAAGACUUGGAUCUCCAUAUGCAGGCUGAGAAGCCUGGAGCAAUUCUGAAUUCUCUUAAUAUGACAUUUUGAACAGGGAGAUAGAUGCUCAAGUUAAAAUUCUCUAGGAAGAUUAAUUUUUGGACAUAAACUUUUAUUCUGUAGAAUUCUUUUUGUUGUAGUCCUGCUUCUUUCCAGAAUCAGAUAUCAUGAAAAGUACUCCUUUAUGCACAAACAUACAUGUGAUAAAGACUUUAUCUUUAGCACUAUAUUUUAAACAUGAUGCUAUCAGCACCAGCCAUUGAACUAAAUGAAAGCAGACCACUCUCUAGCCAAAUGACAUAAAGCAAAUGAUUUUACAGUGCCAGGGCAGUAGGAUCUGUUCUCAAACAGUGCUGCUGUAAAAAAAAAUUACAUUGAUUUCAUAUGUCAGCAGAAUUGUAUGUGUUAGCAUAUUUGCCUGUGUUUGAAAAUUGUGGCUUUAAACUCUUUAGAAAAGAAAUAAAAUGUUUUUGUGAUAAGUCAGGAAGAAAAUUGAUGUAAUGUAGAAUUUUAUAAAUGUUGUAUUUUUUAUUAAUUUAUUAUUUUGAGGUAAUCACUGUACAUAGAGCUACCAACAGCUAAUAUUCAUCUGCUUUUUAUUGCUUCUCCAGCUGCCUUCUUAUUUCAGUUUAUUAGUUAAACUUUAUUUCUGAUUUUAUCACCACCACCAGACUUCAAACUGUUUUUUGAUACUCUUCCCUGCUUUUUAUAUUUUCCUUUUCGUAUAAACAGGAGUUUUUCUCUUUUCCAUAACAGCCAGAAUUUUCUGAAAGGCAUGGAAAACCAACAAGUGAGGCCCUUUUUGAAGUAACCACAAAGGAUUAUAUGAAGUGUGAAUGAUACUAAUUAGAUCCUGUAACUUUAAAACAGUUUGAAAAUCUGUGAAUUUCUAAAAGCAAAAUAAUCGCCUUUCUUCUUAGUCUGACUUUCAACCUUCAGUGAUUAGUCUUUAUUCUCUGUAAUCAAAGAAAUAAGUUCAGAUGAAUAAACACAGUAUUUAGCAUUUUUAUUGGAGAGAACUGCCAGUUCUUUGAUGUAAUCUAUUGUUAAAUUUUUUGCUUUGGUAUUAGAAGAUGUGAUUCUUACACCAAACCUCUACUCUUGCUCUCUAUAUCUUGCUUUGUUUUAGCAGAAAGACUCAGCUGAAACACAAAAUUUUUUCAUUAGUGAAGAAAUUUCCUUAAAGGAUAUGAGGACCUACAUUAAUAUCAUCAGUAAAACAGGAGGUACACUUACACAUUUUUUCUUACAAAACCAAAAGGGUGUUUGCUCUUAUCUUCCUCUGGAAAGCGGAAUUCCCUAACAUACACUACCCAGACCAGACUGUAUCAACAAAAUUUUCCGUUUAAACACCUAUGCAUUUGAGAAGACAGCUCAGACCAAGAGAUCAAAAGGAAAGGAAAUGGUGCAAUUUGAAAAAGGGGAAAUUUAUGUUAGAUAUUAGGAAAAAAUUCUUUACUGUGAGGGUGAUGUGGCACAGGAUUACGUUGCCCAGGGAGGUUGUAGAUGUCCCGUCCCUUGCAGUGUUUAAAGCCAGGUUGGAAAAGGCCUUGAGCAACCUGGUAUAGUGGGAGGUGUCCCUGCCCACAGCAGGGGAAGUUGAGACUAGAUCAUCUUUAAAGUCCAUUCCAACCCCCUGACAUUCUCUGAUUCUAUGAACUAUGUAUAAUUAAUACUUACAUUAAAAAUAAUGGCACAUAUCUUCAGUCAAGUCUUUGCAGCAGUUAGCCUGAAGUGAUGAGUCUUGCUGUAUUUUGGUGCCUUUCUAUCUAUCUUUAGAGACUGUUUACAGGAUCAGUCCAGUGACAGGUAUCUAGGGGAAAAAUGCACAGUUAGGACAUUCAGGAAAUAUUACCCCAAAAUAAGAAAUAUAUGACCAUUUUAAAAAUUCUACAUUAGAUCCGUUAUCUUCCUGACCAAUCCCAAAAGCUUUUUGUUUCUUUUCUAAAUAGCUUAAAGCCACAAUUUUCAAACACAGGCAAAUAUAAAAUCUUUUUUCCUUGAAUUUCCUUGUUGUUCAUUUUUCCCCUCAGGUGCCUGUCCAUUCAACUGGCUCAGGCUUGGAAGGUAGAUGGGAAGGCACCAUGACCCAUUGCUUCAUGCCAAUUGCUGCCAAGCAUUGAUUGAAUAUAAUUACUUUUCUCCUUCAUGUUAGAUUGCUGACAUAUUCCUAACAUUUUACUCACUUCAUACCACUUCAGAACAAUCUGUAGCACCCAAACACGUGAGCUCAAAUACCUUCCAAAAUGUGUUUCUAUUUCAAGCUGCAGUCAGAAGAGAAUGAACAGCAAAAGAAAGAGCCAUGUUACCACAGCACUUCUCACAUCAUAUCUGAGCUGAUAAAACCUGCUGAAAACACACACAGCCUUCAUACAAUAUCACACCAGAUUACUUUUGCAACUCAAAAUAUGGCUGAAUGCAUCUGCUAAACAUAUAUAAUGUAAAUCAUAUUCUUGAUUUCAAUGUUAAAGACGUUCUUGGUAGCUCUCUGAAUUUCAGAUGCAGAGUCAUCAAUUUUCUGACUCUUAAUUCUAGUGUCACUCUCAACUGUGUCUUCAUUAGUGGCUUCUUGCUGCUGUGACAUGUUGAGCCAAACUUAACUCUGUCUUCCUCAUGUCUUUUGAUCUGGGAUCUUUCUUCUCAUAUUACCUAUCUAGUUGACUGGGUCAAAGUAUCAUCAUUUUGCCUUUCAUAUUCCAGUUCUCAUUUGCUGGUCUGAAGGAGUCUUCUGAAAUCCCUGUUUUCUUAGCAGCCUCCUCAGUACAAAUAGUACUGGAGGAAGUUUUACUUCUUCAAAUGAUUGCAUAGAGCACUGACUUGUGCUGAGUCCUACAAACUUCUGAUUAACCUUCCUUUCAGAGUUUCAUUUUACUGUAGAGGUUUCUGAUGCCUCCAUAUUGAAUCUGGUCUUUCGUGCUACAGGUUUGAUCCAAGCAAGCCUGAUGUUACAACAGGAGCCCCACAAAGGGCAAUGUUUAAGAACAGUAUUGAUUUAUGUGAAAGAAUUUUUCAUUAAUCCUCUUGAAUAACUUAUGCAAGCUAGCAAAAAUCAGAACAAAUAAUUCUGGUUUACUUAUAAUUUCUUCUAGAUAUAGUUAGCAAGAUACACCAUCAUAAUUUCUAUAUCAUGCUCACAAGACACACAUUUCACGUCCCUGUACCUAUGCUAGUAAUGCCAAAAGGGUCAUUGGUUCAUUCAUCCAUUUUAAGGUCAUGAUGAAGGUGAAUGUGAUGAGGGGAAAGAAAAAGGGAUCCUGCUUAAAACACAGAGCAUAGAUUCAGCAUAGCAAAAAUUCACUGGAAGAUAGGAAUUUGCCUACAUUUCCUGAACCGUAACAUAGAUUCAGGGCCUAACUGGAGCCAAUGAGAAGAACUAUAAAAACAACAUGUCCUGAAGAAACUGCAAAAUGGAGUUCGAUAAAUCAGAAUGUUGAAGACGGAACCAUUAAAGCAAUUGAAAGCUGUCAUUAAACCAUAAAACAAUUGACACUAGGCUUAGAACCUCUUAUUAUGCAUGAUCGUUUUCCAAAUAACAAAACUAAUUUUACACAUCAUGCUACUGCAUUUAAGUCAGUUACUGACUGGGAGAUAUGAGGAACUGAUUUAAUGUGCACAUAUUAUUUCACAGCUGUUUACUUAAGGGUUUCUUUUAUCUUGCUACAAGCCACUGUCAGACAGAAUAUUGGCUGUGGGUCAGAACCAUCAGGCCAAUUUUUAUGGGUCUAAUUUAACAAACAUUAAUUUAUAAAUGCAUUGUAUUUUUAUUUACAGGAACUUAGAUUAAAUAUUUAUCUUCAAAUUUUACGGUAACUUUGCCAUGGAGGAAAAUGAGCAAUAAUGAUUAAUGGCACAGAGCAUGAAACUUUUUCUUGAUAUCUCCAGUCUGAUUAGUAUUUUUUUUCAUUGAACUUCAGAGCUCUGUGAGUACAAAAAAUCAACUUUGAGCUCACACAGUUUGUUGCAGAAAUGGAAGAUAUAUGUCUAGAGAACUUGGUGGAAUGGUAUCUCCUUGUGUAGACACUCUACAAGGACAGAGGGCAGUCCCUGACCCAGAUAGAAAUAUACACUACAGCUGCAGGAAAAAAUAUGAAUGCAAGUUAUUUAGUAUCAUUAUUUAAUUUAAAGUCCUGCCAACAGACUGCUAAUCCUUCUUGAAUAAAUUUGUCCUAUGCUCAUAUUACUAGAGGCGAUUAAUUAUACAGUGUACAAGCUGCCUCUAUAAAACACUGUCGUAGACUUUCUCUAUCCAGAUAGCUUCCAGCUCCCUCUUACAUGUCAAAAGCAUGAAUGAAAGGAUCUCCAGUACACAGCUGUCACAGAUAUGAGAAUAAAUUACUCUUUGCCCUGUGCUGACAUCCCAGCUAGGGAGACAGACAUUGAAGAAAUACUCAAUGGUGUGUUGGGGCCACCAACCUGGUUCAAGUUUGUCAUGGUCAUUUCUAGGUCUUGAGGGCAGGCUUGCCUCCCAAUGCAGCUACACCUGUGCAGCUUUGGGAGCCUGUGAGACAGGAUGUGAUUGUUUGUUCACAUAAACCUAUAAACCAGGUGAAGUCUUAUGUUCACUGGUCCAGAUUAUAGGAUCCAACUUGAGAGGGUCUGAGAGGUCCUUUGAUCACCUGCAUUUUUGAAAGUCAUGACUUUCCCAAAGAUUGUACUAUAGGAUACUGAGUUUCUGUAACUCUCAUGAGAAGAUCUGACUAAGGCUGUGACACCGAAGAGUCCUUGUUGGUAUAUAUUUUCCUGUCUGAGGAGAAGGACAAUGUUAGUUUGUUUUCUAGACUAUGUAGAACUUCGCUUGCUAUGUGUCAAAAGGUAAGUAUAAUUAAUUGAUCUAAUUUUCAGACUACAUUGACAGUUCUGUAAUGUUAUUCUGUAUUAAUUACAGCAUUUAAAUGAAAUUUGAUAUUGAACAACAAAAGUUUUAUAUAAUUUAGUUACUUUGGCCUUGUAAUUUUAUUCAUGGUUUGAACCAUUUUCAGCAUAUGACUGGUUUUAUCAUUUUAAUUGCAGGGAACAAACUGCUGCAGUAGACCAGGAGUUGGCACAGCUAGAGCAUUGUCUAAUGUUUUGGCCAACCAUGCAUGAAUAUUAGUAAAGCCGAGCUUUCAGAA